rnacentral:tRNA from 1 species
GGGCGAGUGGCGGAACGGCAGACGCAGGGGUCUUAAAAGCCCCCCCACUGAGGGUUCGACUCCCUCCUCGCCCA